GACGUAGGAGGCGAGCGUUGUUCGGAUUCAUUGGGCGUAAAGAGCGCGCAGGCGGCUUGGUAAGUCGGAUGUGAAAUCCCGAGGCUCAACCUCGGGUCUGCAUCCGAUACUGCCCGGCUAGAGGUAGGUAGGGGAGAUCGGAAUUCCUGGUGUAGCGGUGAAAUGCGCAGAUAUCAGGAGGAACACCAGCGGCGAAGGCGGCGCUCUGGGCUGGAACUGACGCUGAGGAGCGAAAGCGUGGGGAGCGAACAGG
rnacentral:rRNA from 1 species